AUUCAAAACAAAUCAUCUAGAUUUAUCUCAAAUCAUUUUACUAUAUGAUAAUAACAAGACCCACUAUACAUCUAUAAAUAUAUUUCAAUGCUCUUCUUCUGUCUUCACAAUUAAGUAUUCCCUCAUAUAGUUUUCUCCCAAAAAAAUAUUAGCAAUUCUCAUAUAUUCAUUCUUCUUCUCCUGUGUGUUCCAAAUAUCACCAUGGGUUUAAGUGAAAAAAUAGCUAGUUUAAUAAAAACGGCAAAAUAAUUAACAAUUUUAUACAAUAUAGUAGUUGUUAUUAUUAUGUGUCAAGGAGAAACCACAACGAUUACGUGGCCAAAACAAAUUGAUGUUCAGAAUGCACUCACAAGGUAUGUAAGUUAUUCUGAGGAUGAAAGGUAAAAAAAGUUAGAUGAGCACGAAAGGUGCCUUUCAAGAAAAUUGAAGGAGAAAAAAAAAGAAGAAUUAAAAAAAUAGAGCAAAAAAACAAGGAGAAGAUAAGGGAAAUUAAGUCCAACCAAUUAUUCAUCAAGUUUAGCUCGUGUAAGAGCAGAUAACUUUAACAAUUCUUUGAUUUCUCUAUCAUCAAGUUCAUCAUAUUUAGACCCUAUUAUUCGAGAUAGGGUCUAAAUAUGAUGAACUUGAUGCUAGAGAAAUCAAAGAAUUGUUAAAGUUAUCUGCUCUUACAUGAGCUAAACUUGAUAAAAGGAAGAAACAACUCAACCAACAAUCUCAAAUUUCUCCAUCUCCACUAAUUCCCUCUAAUUUUGAGCCAACAGGGGGCGCAUCAACAAGUUUGGUGGAUGAAAGUGGUUCUAACCGUGGAUAAUAUCAUACUUCUCAACCUCCACUACUUCCCCCUAAUUUUCAGCCGACAACAGUAGGUCAAAGUAGUGAUUUUCAAGUUGGGAGCGCAUCAAAAAGUUUGGUGGAUGAAAAUGGUUCAAGUCAUGGACCAAUAGAAGGUCAUGAUGACUGUUACCAAAUGGUCACUUUUCUUGUUGCACAACCAUUUUAUAGCGAGAACUGACCAAAAGGCAUUGAAACGCCUGGUUGACCAACCAAUUCACACUGAUUUCCAGAUUGAUGGUACAUCCAAACUAAUGGCUUUUGAUUUUAGUAUUGAGUACAAAAAAGUCUCUGAGAAUAGUGUUGCUGAUGCAUUGUCAAGAAUACCUGAUGCUGAAUUAUUAGCCAUCUCAUUACUCACAUACAUGAUAAGUUGUAAAUGAAGAUUAAGGCAUCUUGGGAGGUGGAUCCUGCACAAGUUAUUAUUCAGAAAGUACAGACACGACCUUUUAAAUCUUACAUUUGGUGUGAUGAGCAGCUCAAAUGGAAAUGAAGGUUAGUUAUAGGUGAUGAUCAACAAUAGUUGAAGAUUGACUUUAUUUCCUUGUGGCAUAGUACUCCACAAGGUGGAUACUCAGGCAUGGAUGCUACUAUAUGGAGAUGUGAGAAGAUUCAUCAACCAAUGUGUUGUUUGUCAAAGACAUAUUUAUGAUGCAGCUGCUUCUCCAUGGUAUUUGCAAUCUCUACCUAUUCCACAAUCUCUACCUAUUCCUGGAGGUGUGUGGACUGAUAUUUGCUUAGAUUUUGGGAGAAAAUAUAAGAGAAAAAUAUUAUUGAAUUGUUGUAACUAUAUUAUUACAUUGAGACCCCUAUUUAUAGACAUUACAUUCCAAUCUUUUCCUAA